CUUGUGCCUGAAUGUGUUGAGCGGUUGCAGGCAGAGAUGAUGUUAUGCUUUUGCAUGUUCACAAGAAACUUGAGGUGGUUUAAAUGGGUUCAAAGUUCAUUCUUUUGUGUUGAUUGAAUUGUAAAUUUGUUUGAUUUGUUCUCUUAUCAUCUUGUAAAUGUAGGCUUGAUUAAGUAACUUUAGAAACAUGGAUUUGGCAGGUAUUCAUGAACUUCUUCAGAUGGUCUGAAUCCCCUUGUUGUUGAUGAUCGUGCUUUGGCAGCAGAUGCACUGCCUCUUGAGGGAGGAGGAUGGUGCAACAAUGUUACAACUUGCCUCUGAUGAAAAGAAAACCAUUUGGGUUCAUCCAAGAAGACUGGGUUUGAUGACUACUCCAUGGCUAGGGGGAAUGCCACUUUACCUGCUAUGGAAAUGACCAAGUGCUUUGACAUCAGCUAGUUAGAAAUGAAUGGUAACCAUUCUUUUCUCUAUUGGAAGCUCCAUACUUCCACAGAUGGGGCCCACGGUAAUGUUUAUAACUGGUCUUUUUGUUGGUGCGCAAGUAAUCACAAAGUGUGAAGGUAAGCAGGAAUUGAUUUGAGCAUGGGAAUGGAGAAGCUUCAGCUUCAAAAUGUUAGCAAGUAUGAACAACUAGGAGGCAGGAGCAGGAGCACAAAUCAAAAACACAAUUCAAAGUGACAGUGGAACCUGGGUAGAAAAUUUUGCAGUGAUCUUCAUUUUGUGGUUAGGAAAAUCUUUUUCCUUGGGCCACCCAAAUGCCAAGAUUAGUGUCCUCCAUGCAGCCCUGUCUUUUGAAGCCCCCAAAUUAUUUAAAUCUUGUGAUGUGCAGAACAACAUAAACCCAUUGUAAUCUCUCUUUGUGCAGGUUCUGGACCGUGGUGAGAAGAUUGAGCUUCUGGUAGACAAAACAGAGAACCUCUGCUCACAGGUGGUGAACCUCAAUAUCAUUGAGGGCCUGAACCUGCUGAAGGACUUUGAAAUACUGGUGCUGAUGCCUUUUACUGCUACACAGCUCACCAAAGAUCGAUAGAAGAAAUGAGUCCCUUGGAAACAAUGACCAUCAUUGGCAACAAGGACAUCAUUGACAUUAACCAAGGUAUGUUAGCUGCUUAGA